rnacentral:rRNA from 1 species
CAGCUUACCAAGCAACAACUGACGCUCAUGCACGAAAGCGUGGGGAUCAAACAGGAUUAGAUACCCUGGUAGUCCACGCCGUAAACGAUGAUCACUCGAUGUUGGCGAUACACAGUCAGCGUCUUAGCGAAAGUAUUAAGUGAUCCACCUGGGGAGUACGGUCGCAAGAUUGAAACUCAAAGGAAUUGACGGGGGCCCGCACAAGCGGAGGAGCAUGUGGUUUAAUUCGAUGAUACGCGAGGAACCUUACCUGGGCUCGAACGUGGAAUGACAGUCGCGGAAACGUGAUCUUCUUCGGACAUUCUACGAGGUGCUGCAUGGUUGUCGUCAGCUCGUGCCGUGAGGUGUCGGGUUAAGUCCCAUAACGAGCGCAACCCCUAUCUUUAGUUGCCAUCAGGUAAUGCUGGGGACUCUAAAGAAACUGCCUACGCAAGUAGUGAGGAAGGCGGGGAUGACGUCAAAUCAGCACGACCCUUACGUCCAGGGCUACACACGUGCUACAAUGGCCGGUACAGAGGGCAGCUACCUGGUGACAGGAUGCAAAUCUCCAAAGCCGGUCUCAGUUCGGAUCGAAGUCUGAAACUCGACUUCGUGAAGUUGGAUUCGCUAGUAAUCGCGCAUCAGCCAUGGCGCGGUGAAUACGUUCCCGGGCCUUGUACACACCGCCCGUCAAGCCAUGGAAGCUUGGGGUACCUGAAGUCCGUGAGCGCAAGCAGCGGCCUAGGGUAAAACAGGUA